UUAGGGAGACCUAUCCCACUCAGAUAUCGAAAGCAAACAGCAAAUAGAUAAUGAGUUGGUCUAUCCUAGGUCGGUCGAGAUUGGUUAAAAGCUUUCAAAGUAUUACUUUUUCGGUAGUAGAGAUUUAUUGAUUGAAACAGUUAAGUUAAUAGAUGCAAAUUCAGCAACAUGGCAAUUGCCAGACUGCUGAGUUGAAUCUCAGCCAGAACCUUGAAAACUGCAUAGUAACGCGAAAAAAGCAGGCAGUGAAAAAAGUCAAAAGUCAAAAGCCAAAAGUGAAAAACUCGAAGCAAAGACAACAGACAAAAAACUGCAUGGAGAACACCAAUUGUUGAUUGU
rnacentral:misc_RNA from 2 species